rnacentral:rRNA from 1 species
AACGUAGGAGGCGAGCGUUAUCCGGAGUUACUGGGCGUAAAGCGCACGUAGGCGGAUUUGUUAGUCAGGGGUGAAAUCCCGGGGCUCAACCUCGGAACUGCCUUUGAUACUGCAAAUCUCGAGUCCGAUAGAGGUGGGUGGAAUUCCUAGUGUAGAGGUGAAAUUCGUAGAUAUUAGGAAGAACACCGGUGGCGAAGGCGGCCCACUGGAUCGGUACUGACGCUGAGGUGCGAAAGCGUGGGGAGCAAACAGG